rnacentral:rRNA from 1 species
CCUACGGGUGGCAGCAGUGAGGAAUAUUGGUCAAUGGACGAAAGUCUGAACCAGCCAAGUCGCGUGAAGGAUGACUGCCCUAUGGGUUGUAAACUUCUUUUAUAUGGGAAUAAAAUGUUCCACGUGUGGGAUUUUGUAUGUAUCAUAUGAUUAAGGAUCGGCUAACUCCGUGCCAGCAGCCACGGUAAUACGGAGGAUCCGGGCGUUAUCCGGAUGUAUUGGGUUUAAAGGGUGCGUAGGUGGAUUGUUAAGUCAGGUGUGAAAGGUUGCGGCUCAACCGGAAAAUUGCAGUUGAAACUGGAAGUCUUGAGUACAGGAGAGGUGGGCGGAAUUCGUGGUGUAGCGGUGAAAUGCUUAGAUAUCACGAAGAACUCCGAUUGCGAAGGCAGUUCACUGGACUGCAACUGACACUGAGGCUCGAAAGUGUGGGUAUCAAACAGGAUUAGAUACCCUUGUAGUC